rnacentral:sRNA from 1 species
GCCCAUCAUGGGCGUUUCCUCCCUCAAGACUUGGGCCGCCGCUUGUGCGGCCUUUUUUCUUGA